UACUUUUUUCGGCACACACUUUAACCACUAUGUCAGUAUUAACGAACUAAUACGUAAGUGCUUUUAUGUACUUUGUGCAUUACUGUUAAUCCCAUGAAUAAUAUAUU
rfam:Papio anubis isolate 1X1155 chromosome 7, whole genome shotgun sequence.